rnacentral:rRNA from 1 species
UACGUAGGGUGCGAGCGUUGUCCGGAAUUAUUGGGCGUAAAGAGCUUGUAGGCGGUCUGUCGCGUCUGCUGUGAAAAUCCGGGGCUCAACCCCGGACUUGCAGUGGGGUACGGGCAGACUAGAGUGUGGUAGGGGAGACUGGAAUUCCUGGUGUAGCGGUGAAAUGCGCAGAUAUCAGGAGGAACACCGAUGGCGAAGGCAGGUCUCUGGGCCACUACUG